GUAGGUGAACCUGCGGAAGGAUCAUUAUCACAUGAAUCCAUGUAAAAACCAUUGUGCAUUGUCACCCCCUCUAGAUUUGAAAUCGGAAACGAAGAAAGCGUUAUUACGGUCACUAUUGUAAUUUGAAGACCCAGCUUUUUUCCAGGAUUCGCCCGCUGAUUUCUACCUAUAUCUAGAGUGUAAUUCAAAUUUACAUAACUUAUUGAUUAACAAUUGAAACCCCUUUUAAACUUUUGAACUAAUGUUUUCA
rnacentral:misc_RNA from 1 species